UAGGGUCAUCAGAAUCCGUCAUCGUGCCUUUGAUCGCCGGUUGUGUUGGAGGAGUUUUCACUUUUCUGCUGUUAUGUCUUCUGGUGACGAUUUUUAUAAGAAAACAAAGGACACAAGCAUCUAACGUACCUGUUGUUAGGGAAGCUGACUUUUCAGAUCAGGACCAGAAAAACCACAAAGAGAUCAAUGCCACUUAUAUUAACAGUGCAUUUGUGACAAGUGAGAAGCCAGAGAUACCAAAAGAUGAAGGUGACGCCGACAUCCACUAUGGAGAGAUUAACUUCACCACAGUCCAAACCGAAACCCUCACGGAGAAAAGCUCAGGUCAAGAGACAGUAUAUGCUGAGGUUUCAACCCAGGC